ensembl:snoRNA
UGACAUUGAUGACAUCAUUAUCCCGAAACUGAUCAUCUAUUGAUGAGACAAACUUAACGGAUCUGAUUACUGAGUU